AACGAACGCUGGCGGCAUGCCUAACACAUGCAAGUCGAACGAUUGCCUUCGGGUGAUAGUGGCGCACGGGUGCGUAACGCGUGGGAAUCUGCCCUUAGGUUCGGAAUAACAGCUGGAAACGGCUGCUAAUACCGGAUGAUAUCGCGAGAUCAAAGAUUUAUCGCCUGAGGAUGAGCCCGCGUUGGAUUAGGUAGUUGGUGGGGUAAAGGCCUACCAAGCCGACGAUCCAUAGCUGGUCUGAGAGGAUGAUCAGCCACACUGGGACUGAGACACGGCCCAGACUCCUACGGGAGGCAGCAGUGGUGAAUAUUGGACAAUGGGCGCAAGCCUGACCCAGCAAUGCCGCGUGAGUGAUGAAGGCCCUAGGGCUGUAAAGCUCUUUUACCCGGGAAGAUAAUGACUGUACCGGGAGAAUAAGCCCCGGCUAACUCCGUG
rnacentral:rRNA from 1 species